GCUAAUAACUGUAUGUCGUGUUUUCAAGUUGACAGCUGUUAAUCAACUAAGUGAACGAGACUGACGGUUCCGAUUUCCUAAGCGUUCUCGGUCUGUCUCACCGGAGAAGGAGAGAGCUGGAUUCGGAUGCUCUCUUGGAAAAGGGCUGGAAAAGAUUUGUUCUCCUUGGGAGAUUGAUGCUGUUCAGGUGGAUCCUCUUCCUCCAAUGAAUGAAGUGACCCAGAAGCACCCACCAUAUUGUUCACAGUAACGGGUCCAGGAUCGGGGUCCGUACCCAACGUUGUCUUCACUCGGAUUCUUGCUAAGGUGUCUUGAGUGCUGAAGUUAAGUAUGUUUAAAGUCGCCACCUUUAAGGCCAAAACGGUUAAACUAUCUUCAUUCCGUAUUACAAAAAUAAUAGUUAAAAGCUUAAUGGUGUGACACUAGUUUACAUUCUAAUUUUUUGAAGAUGAUUGAAUGCUUUAAAGAAGGUUUUAAAAAUAUCUCUCAUUCAUAGGAGAAACAUAUUCAACACGUAUGA